rnacentral:lncRNA from 1 species
CUCCUUUCCUAGUGUCCCCAUCUUUGCUGCCUUCUGUGAGUUUGAUCAUGUGGACUCCAUGGAGGUUGGCCACUGCUGGGCAAUGCAGCCAAACAAAGUGAGCAAAAGUAGGCUGGAGGGCUCCGUGGGUGACUGGGGCUAGGCUGCCUCUGGUGCCCCAAGAACCCUGAAGCCACCUUGCAGCUCUUCUGAAAUGGGUUGGGGGAUCCAGCUAUCUGUAAUUGUGAAGUGAAGAGGAUGUGACUGCCAGGUAAUGCUAACCCCGAAUCCUUGGUGCCUGUGUUAUGCACCAUAUGCUGAAUUUCGGUUCCAGCUGUGUGCUAGGCUGGGUCUGAUCUGGCAAAGAGGAACUGGCUCCACAGCUCUGGGCAGAAUCCACUGCUGCUCCCACACAGAGAAGACCAGGGGAACCGCAGUCCCACUCUGAGUGGAAACCCUUGACACGUGUUACACACAAACAACACUUGGGGUGGAACAAGAGGUUUACAAUGAUCUGUCUGGGACCCAUAAUACAAUUCAGCAUCUCUUUAGAGCUUCAGUCUAUCAAACAUUUUCAGACUAUUUCAUUUAACCUUAACAGUUAUUGAAAUGCUUGGGGGGGAAAAAAACCUCCACAUUUGAGAUUUCCAUAGCAGAAGCAUCACCAGCAGCCUCAACAGCCAUUCAAAAAGAUAUCGUCUGCAGGCUUGUUACCUCUUAUCGUCCCUCCAUUGUAUUAUAGAACUCUUAUUCUUAGAGAGAUUGCCUGGAAAGAGGUAAAGUAUGCAUAGACAUGGUCAGCCCCAUUUGCAGCUGAGGAAAUGAGACUCAGAGUGGCAAAGUGACUUUUUCAGAAUCAUAGCAGUAAAUGGUAGCAUUAGGAAGCUAAGCCUGAUCAUCCUGUUCUUGUCCUGUUGAGGAGAUAGUGAGAGCAAAGGAAAGUGGCAACAAUGAAGGAAUAAAACCCAGCUCGUCCCCCUGUUCCUCAUGCCCAACCCUUGCCAAGACUUCAGGUAACAGAAGGAAGAGAACACAUGGAUGGGCACAUGCUGGGCCCGGAAGAGCUGUGCAUGUCCCACAGACCACGAGUGUGGAGCCCAUGGCCGUGUGAAGGGGGUGGGGUCCCAGUCCUAGAAGCAGGAUCAUGGAAGUGGCCUUGGAGGACCUGACGAGGAAGCCUAUGAUCUUCCAGGUACUUUUAGGUGAUGUGGAUUUAGACACUGGAUGUGGCUGUGAAGCGGGCUUUUGCUUUUUUGGUUGUCCGGCAUCCAUUUAAUCACGCCCCAGCUUCCUGCUUGGGAACUUCCACUAACGCUGUCAGUCCAUGGACUUCUAGAGGAGCUGAAUCUACCGCUGGCUCAGGAACAGGAACCUGACCUGGGCCUAAGCUAAUGAAUCCAUCAAAUUUACCUUGGCAAAGUGAUUGCCUCAGGAAUGGGCAGUGACCCAACUAGAGCCAAUAGGACUUUUCCCAGGUAUCCUGAAACAGACAGUCUUUUUCUCAUGGAUGUGGACCUGAGACAGUAUAGUUCUGGGAGUUGCUGACAACCAUCUUAUGGUCAUGAGCUGAUUUGAGAUUGGCUUCAACAAGCAGGAAGUGGAACAGAUGGAGAUAAAUUGGAUCCUGAAUUGUGGAAAGCUUACAAAGGGCUUCUGCUUCUGACUACGAUGGAGUGACUGGUAUCAGAUGGCCCUCUUGUCAGGAACAACCAUAAAAGCUAUACUUCACCCAGCUUUUUGAUAGCAUGGAGAAAUGUCAAGGCAGCUGGGAUUG